GUUGUAUGGUUAAGUGACUAAGCGUACACGGUGGAUGCCUUGGCAGUCAGAGGCGAUGAAAGACGUAAUAACUUGCGAUAAGCCCAGAUUAGGUAGUAAUAACCAUUUGAGUCUGGGAUUUCUGAAUGGGGAAACCCACGUGCAUAAGCACGUAUCGUUAUGUGAAUACAUAGCAUAACGAGGCAAACCCGGGGAACUGAAACAUCUAAGUACCCGGAGGAAGAGAAAUCAACCGAGAUUCC
rnacentral:rRNA from 1 species